CGCUGGUACAUCCUGUCCAGGCCAUUCCACCGCUAGGCUAUCUUCAUCACUGGAAUCCUGACAGCAAUGCUCUGCUGGAUCCAUAUAGACUACAGUUACAUCCAAGACUCCACUGGGAGCAGUCACUAGAGGAAGAUAUAGAAGAGUGAUUUGGAUCUACCUGAGCAGCAAUGUAGUCAGAGCCAGGAACUCAAGAUCUCUAAUCCUGGGCGAUUAAUUUCCUCUGUGGCUUUAGAGAAAGUCAACACACAAGCGCUGAUUUCUCCCUUGUGUAAAGUGGGGAUGACGACGACUCAUUCCACAGAGUCUGCAGCCAUUGAGGAAGAGCUCUCCAAGUCUUGUAGCCAGACAUUUUGCAGCAUUGCAAAUGGACAAGGAGAUUUUGGCAUCUAUCAUCAGGAAACAUUUUGCUGCUACAGGCUGUGGUGUAAAGAUAAUCGCCAUAGUACAACAGAAAAGGGACCUUCCUUCAGUGACUGCUGUCUCUCUGAAAGAGUUUGCACUUUUCUGACUUUGUUAAGCUGCAGAUGGGAAAAUCUGGUUUCUCCCUAUUGUAAUUAAAGAAGAAAAAUACACUA